rnacentral:rRNA from 1 species
GACGAACGCUGGCGGCGUGCUUAACACAUGCAAGUCGAACGGUAAGGCCCUUCGGGGUACACGAGUAGCGAACGGGUGAGUAACACGUGGGUGAUCUGCCCUGCACUUCGGGAUAAGCCUGGGAAACUGGGUCUAAUACCGGAUAGGACUCCGGACUGCAUGGUCUGGGGUGGCAAGCUUUUGCGGUGUGGGAUGGGCCCGCGGCCUAUCUGCUUGUUGGUGGGGUGAUGGCCUACCAAGGCGACGACGGGGAGCCGGCCUGAGAGGGUGACCGGCCACGCUGGGACGGAGAUACGGCCCAGACUCCUACGGGAGGCAGCAGUGGGGAAUAUUGCACAAUGGGCGCAAGCCUGAUGCAGCGACGCCGCGUGAGGGAUGACGGCCUUCGGGUUGUAAACCUCUUUCAGCUUCGACGAAGCGAAAGUGACGGUAGGUGCAGAAGAAGGACCGGCCAACUACGUGCCAGCAGCCGCCGUAA